rnacentral:rRNA from 1 species
GACGAACGCUGGCGGCGUGCUUAACACAUGCAAGUCGAACGGAAAGGCCCUGCUUUUGUUGGUUGCUCGAGUGGCGAACGGGUGAGUAACACGUGAGUAACCUCCCCUUGACUUUGGGAUAACUUCAGGAAACUGGGGCUAAUACCGGAUAGGAGCUCCUGCUGCAUGGUGGUGGUUGGAAAGUUUCGGCGGUUGGGGAUGGACUCGCGGCUUAUCAGCUUGUUUGUGGGGUAGUGGCUUACCAAGGCUUUGACGGGUAGCCGGCCUGAGAGGGUGACCGGCCACAUUGGGACUGAGAUACGGACCAGACUGCUACGGGAGGCAGCAGUGGGGAAUAUUGCACAAUGGGCGGAAGCCUGAUGCAGCAACGCCGCGUGCGGGAUGACGGCCUUCGGGUUGUAAACCGCUUUCGCCUGUGACGAAGCGUGAGUGACGGUAAUGGGUAAAGAAGCACCGGCUAACUACGUG